CACCAUUUUUGACUUCUAGUAGAUUCUUUUACAAUUUUUUUCUUGAACAAUAGACUCUUUAAGGCAAAUAUCUCUGCCAUUUGCAGAGAUAAUUUUAUAGACUCUUCUAGGAUUUUUCUUGAAUUCUCUAGCUCAAGUCUAUCUUGAAGUUUCUAGAAAUUGGAUCAAUAAUUUGACACUCCUCCUUGAUCCAAUUUCGUGUUACUGCAAGCAUUUCCUACAAUGUCUCGAACUUGGCUAGCGAUAGUGCUUUAGUGAAUAUGU
rnacentral:lncRNA from 1 species